rnacentral:rRNA from 1 species
UACGGAGGGUGCGAGCGUUGUCCGGAAUCAUUGGGCGUAAAGGGCGCGUAGGUGGCCCGGUCAGUUCGUGGUGAAAGCGCGGGGCUCAACCCUGCGUCGGCCAUGAAUACUGCCGCGGCUGGAGCACUGUAGAGGCAGGCGGAAUUCCGGGUGUAGCGGUGGAAUGCGUAGAGAUCCGGAAGAACACCGGUGGCGAAGGCGGCCUGCUGGGCAGUUGCUGACACUCGAGGCGCGACAGCGUGGGAGCAACAGGAUU